rfam:Triticum aestivum genome assembly, contig: Triticum_aestivum_CS42_TGACv1_scaffold_194119_3AL
AUUGUACUUCCUUCGUUUCGAAUUACUUGUCUUGGAUUUGUCUAGAUACGGAUGUAUCUAGACUCAUUUUAGUGCUAGAUACCUCCGUAUCUAGACAAAUCUAAAACAAAUAAUUCGGAACGGAGAGAGUACUAU